rnacentral:tRNA from 1 species
GGUGGGCUGGCUGAGUGGUCGAAAGCGGCGGUCUUGAAAACCGUUGAGGGUUUAUCCCCUCCCGGGGUUCGAAUCCCUGGCCCCCCGCCA